GACGAACGCUGGCGGCGCGCCUAACACAUGCAAGUCGAACGAGCGAGAGAGAGCUUGCUUUCUCGAGCGAGUGGCGAACGGGUGAGUAACGCGUGAGGAACCUGCCUCAAAGAGGGGGACAACAGUUGGAAACGACUGCUAAUACCGCAUAAGCCCACAGGUCGGCAUCGACCAGAGGGAAAAGGAGCAAUCCGCUUUGAGAUGGCCUCGCGUCCGAUUAGCUAGUUGGUGAGGUAACGGCCCACCAAGGCGACGAUCAGUAGCCGACCUGAGAGGGUGACCGGCCACAUUGGGACUGAGACACGGCCCAA
rnacentral:rRNA from 1 species